AAAAAAAAAAAAAAUCCUUAUCCUUUAAGGAUUUGAACUCCAAAAAAGUAAACAGUAACCUUUAAGGAAUCUAAAAGUAAUCCUUAACCAACAAGGACUCUAAAUAAAGGCUCCUAUAGAAAUCUGGAUCUUUCCUGUAAAUAUGGAAUUACAAAACUACCCCUGUGACUUAAAUAAAGGACCAGCAACUAGUAUUUUAAAUAGACACAUAAGUAAAAAUCUAAAAGAACUAGAAAGUACUCUAUAAUUUC
rnacentral:misc_RNA from 1 species